ACAAAGGAAAUCAAAGAAAGCAAUGACGCUUGGCCAUCUGGUUACUGGGAAUAUUGGGAACGGAGCAUUUCGGGAGGAUACAGAUUCAUGUGUCUUAAAAAGGAUUGGUGGUAAUUUUUUUCCGUCCCAUCCAACAAAUCAGAUUUCGAUUGCUCAGUGUAGACUGGCGUCGCGCUGGCGUCUCCCUCAUUGAUGAGCAUCACCCAAACAGCCCCCGCUUCGUCAUUCCAGGAGAUGGCAACAUUCACCCCACCCUCCCCAUCCUCCUCAUUGCUUUCCAAUAUAUUUCUCCCUCUGCAAAGGCAAAUGAAACCGAAGGAGGUCUGCUGUUGUUCUUGGUGCCAGAUUCCUCUCCAAUGUGGACAAGGCUCACUGUGGGAUUAUCUCAUGAUUGCCCAAAACAAUCAAACCCAGGCUGUGGGGGCUGCAUACUGAAGUGGGGCUGCACUGAUCAUCA
ensembl:lncRNA